AACGAACGCUGGCGGCAUGCCUAACACAUGCAAGUCGAACGAGAUCUUCGGGUCUAGUGGCGCACGGGUGCGUAACGCGUGGGAAUCUGCCCUUUGGUUCGGAAUAACAGUUGGAAACGACUGCUAAUACCGGAUGAUGACGAAAGUCCAAAGAUUUAUCGCAAGAGGAUGAGCCCGCGUAGGAUUAGCUAGUUGGUGUGGUAAAGGCGCACCAAGGCGACGAUCCUUAGCGGGUCUGAGAGGAUGAUCAGCCACACUGGGACUGAGACACGGCCCAGACUCCUACGGGAGGCAGCAGUGGGGAAUAUUGGACAAUGGGCGAAAGCCUGAUCCAGCAAUGCCGCGUGGGUGAUGAAGGCCUUAGGGUUGUAAAGCUCUUUUACCCGGGAUGAUAAUGACAGUACCGGGAGAAUAAGCUCCGGCUAACUCCGUGCCAGCCGCCGCCGUAA
rnacentral:rRNA from 1 species